AUGCCGAUAGUAUACAUAAGUACAAUUGCCUUCCAAGCAAAAAGACCAAAAAUGGUCAGCAUA
rnacentral:tRNA from 1 species